GGGAGACCGGGGUUCGAUUCCCCGCCGGA
rnacentral:ncRNA from 2 species